rnacentral:rRNA from 1 species
GGGGAAUAUUGCACAAUGGGCGCAAGCCUGAUGCAGCAACGCCGCGUGAGGGAUGACGGCCUUCGGGUUGUAAACCUCUUUUAGUCAGGAAGAAGCCUUCGGGUGACGGUACUGGCAGAAAAAGCACCGGCUAACUACGUGCCAGCAGCCGCGGUAAUACGUAGGGUGCAAGCGUUGUCCGGAAUUAUUGGGCGUAAAGAGCUCGUAGGCGGCUUGUCGCGUCUGCUGUGAAAUCCUGAGGCUUAACCUUGGGCGUGCAGUGGGUACGGGCAAGCUAGAGUGCGGUAGGGGAGAUUGGAAUUCCUGGUGUAGCGGUGGAAUGCGCAGAUAUCAGGAGGAACACCGAUGGCGAAGGCAGAUCUCUGGGCCGUAACUGACGCUGAGGAGCGAAAGCAUGGGGAGCGAAC